GAUGAAGAACGCAGCGAAAUGCGAUAAGUAGUGUGAAUUGCAGAAUUCAGUGAAUCAUCGAAUCUUUGAACGCACAUUGCGCCUCCUGGUAUUCCGGGAGGCAUGCCUGUUCGAGCGUCAUUAAAAUCACUCAAGCUUAGGUUUACCUAUUGCUUGGUCUUGGAGAUGGAAGCCAAUUUAUUGGAAUCCUCUUCGAAAUUCAAUGGCGAAGACCCUUGCUCUCCCAAGUGUAGUAAUAACUUAUGUCACUGAAGGAAGCGAGAAAUCUUCUGCCGUAACCCCCAUAUUUUCUAUGAUUGACCUCGGAUCAGGUAGGGAUACCCGCUGAACUUAAGCAUAUCAAAAGCGGAGGA
rnacentral:misc_RNA from 1 species